UAGGGAAUCUUCGGCAAUGGACGAAAGUCUGGCCGAGCAACGCCGCGUGAGUGAAGAAGGUUUUCGGAUCGUAAAACUCUGUUGGUAGAGAAGAACGUUGGUGAGAGUGGAAAGCUCAUCAAGUGACGGUAACUACCCAGAAAGGGACGGCUAACUACGUGCCCG
rnacentral:rRNA from 1 species